GGCCCUGUGGUGUAGUGGUUACACGUCCUCUAUCUAUUGGUUCUGUGCACCCAAAGUUUAUGAGGAAGUUACUGUUCGAAUCAGGGCAGGGCCA